rnacentral:lncRNA from 1 species
GGAGAAAGACACAGACCUGUCUUCAGGUCAUUGCCUUAACCUUGGCAAAAUAAACUUCUAAAUGGAUUGAGACCUGUCUCAGAUACUUUUUGGUUUACAAGGGCGAGCUCACAAGGCUUUAGCGGACCUCUGGGAGCGUGCACAAAGAAGGGACGCUUGAAUUGCUUGUUUUCUCAAGAAGUGUCAGGUCUGAGAGCCUGAAGCUACCCAGCCAAGUACUCCUCACGUCUCCUCCCUGCCUUACAGGGAGGGGAUUCAGCGUUGGUUUUGACUGUCACCAGGACUGGACAUCCUGAUGACCGAAAAAGCAGAUGGCGUUUGUGACUAUAUAUACAUAAUACAACAGAGAAAGCCAAAAAUCCAAGGAACUGCAAGAAUUUUUAUCCGGGUGAAGAUUAUCCUGACAGAGAAAAGUUAGGUGAGGAAGACAAAAACAAAGCUGUAUUUGGAUAAUGUCACGAGUCCUGUUUGUUCAACACACUGGACACAGCAAGACGACUGACUGAAUUAGCCUCCCAUGGCCUCUGCCCAGGCUGGAUAAGAACCUCAAACCUAGGAGGGAGUGGAGGAGACGGAGCUUGGAGAGAGGUGCUCUUUCCUGCUACAUUUGGAUACAAGUCUCUGGUGGGCCCUGUUUGCCCAGAUCCUUGGGCAAGUAAGUUUGACGUCAAUUGAUCUUAAUCUCAGAUGCCAAGUUUGUGCUAAGGUGUAAACGACCCUUCAGUAAAUUGACUAAUCUUGUUGGGCAUUGCCAUAGUUAUAAAAUGUUAAGGAAGUAGAGGUUUUUGUUUGUUUGUUUGUGAAUUUUUUCAACAGAGAGCCUUUCAAAAGAUGUCACAAAGAUUAGGAAACAUCUCCAUCUGUUAUGGAGUAUGUUUUCUGUAAUGAUUCAGUUACCAAGACUACACUGGCAGCAAGAGUUCCUCUGUCUGGGUGAUGCUGAAGGUCAAUCUCUGAUCGGUCCUCAGAAGCCUUCAAAGAUCUUUGAAAUGUUUUCUUAAUGCUCCUCUCUGGCUCCUUAAAUAAUGAUUGAGGCUUGGAUUCUAUUAGAGUGAGCAGGGACUCAAUAUGAAAUUCUGCACCAGGCACACAGUUAAUAUAAUUUAUUUUAUUUAGAAUUCUGCUCUCUGUACGGUCUGGUUAUCAAUUCUCUUUUUCAUGAUUUGGCAUUAAUGAUGGAAAGAACAAAUUCAGAUGUCCUUCCUCUUUGAGUGAUUCACAGUGUGUUUUCUAUUUCCAUUGACAACCUUCUCAGUGUUUUGAUAAUAACUUCCUCAAUAGGACACCAAAAUUAUGUGAAUAAAUGAAAAGAAUUCUUAUAAUCAUAGAAGAUAAAUGAACUAUCUGUACCAUCAAACUACAUUUAAAUGUAAGGGCUAAAAAUAUUUUUAAGAAUUAGGAAAUCCAAGUGAAUCCUGAUUUUUCCUUCUAUGCCUUCCCCCCAACUCCAAAGUCACUUUUUAAAUUGAAGUAUGAUUUAUAUAUUAUAAAAUUAACCAAUUUUAAGGAAAUAAUUUGUCUUUAUAUUUUAACAAAAAUGAAAAUGUUAGAAGGUACAACCACUUAUUAAUAUUUUUUUGAGAAAAUAAGUCAUUCUACCAAAAAGACACACGCACUCACAUGUUCAUUGUAGCACUAGUCACAACAGCAAAGGCAUGGAAUCAACUUAGGUUCCUGUCAACAGUGGACUGGAUUAAGAAAAGUGAUACCAGUCCUUUGCAGCAACAUGGAUGCAGCUGGAGACCAUUAUCCUGAUUGAAUUAACACAGAAACAAAACCAAAUACUAUAUGUUCUCACUUUAUGAGUGGGAGCUAAACAUUGGAUACAUGUGGACAUAAAGAUGGCAACAAUAGACAAUGAGGACUACUAGAAGGGAGAAGGAGAAAGAGGUGCAAAGAUUGAAAGCUAUCUAUUAGGUACUAUGAUCACUACCUGGGUGAUGAGAUCAUUCAUAUCCCAACCCUCAGCAUCCUGCAAUAUACCCAUGUAACAAACCUGCACAUGUACUCCUGAAUCUAAAAUAAAAGUUGGCUGGGCGUGGUAGCUCACACCACCUAAUUCCAGCACUUUGGGAAGCCGAGAUGGGUGGAGCACUUGAGGUCAG